UAAGGAAUAUUGGACAAUGGAGGCAACUCUGAUCCAGCCAUGCCGCGUGAAGGAAUAAGGCCCUAUGGGUUGUAAACUUCUUUUAGACGGGACAAAACCCCUUUACGUGUAAAGGGUUGAUGGUACUGUCAGAAUAAGCAUCGGCUAACUUCGUGCCAGCAGCCGCGGUAAUACGAAGGAUGCAAGCGUUAUCCGGAAUUAUUGGGUUUAAAGGGUGCGUAGGCGGACUAAUAAGUCAGUGGUGAAAGCCUGCAGCUUAACUGCAGAAUUGCCAGUAAUACUGUUAGUCUUGAGUACAGUUGAGGUAGGCGGAAUGUGUCAUGUUGCGGUCAAAUGCUUAGAUAUGACACAGAACACCGAUUGCGAAGGCAGCUUGCUAAGCUGUAACUGACGCUGAGGCACGAAAGCGUGGGGAGCAAACA
rnacentral:rRNA from 1 species